CUUAUUAAUUUGCUAGGCACUUAGCGUUUUCAAUUUUGACAGAACCUUGGAGCCAACACGCCUCGACCAGCAGCAAAUGUUUGUGUGACCAUCAGUGACCUCAAGACCGAAGAAAGGAAGCAAAAGCUUUCCAGGUAUAGGAAGAAGAAGAUCAAGCGGAACUUUGGCAGGAAGAUCAAGUACGAGUGCAGGAAGGCUCUGGCAGACAGCCAGCCAAGAGUGCGAGGGAGAUUUGCCAAGAUCGAAGAAUGCGACCUGCUGAAGCCAAGCAAGUAGAUCCAAGUAUGCUUGGUUUUGGCUUCUAGCUCACGCUAGUACAAUACUUCUAUACAGCUGGCUCAUCUCCAGGGCAAUUGCUAUUUUCGUCUCUGAUUUUAUCCUCGCCCCCCACUAAUGGAAUAAUAUGCUGGUAUGCAAACAAGGAAGUGUCUGACUCUGUUUUGUGUACUUCUGUGUUAUCAGGUAUGUUAUUCUAUAUAUAAAGUUGUGAUUCCGUGCUUAGUAAAUUUGUUUUGCUGAUCUUGCUCUGUCUGGAAAUCCCACGUUACAGUAACCUUUUCAUAUGGCUAACCAAUCAUAAUAAUUCUGCAUUUUGAAUGCUUAGGACUGCACUUCUGGAUAUUGGUAAGCACUACUAGAAAUAUUCAGAGACAACAUGAAUGGCUUCCAAAGGGCUGGGUGAUGGAGGUAAGAGCUGGUGGGGAGAAGGCGGACAAGAUGUACAAGUUUUAUGUCCACUCAAUCACUGGUCUACGAUUGCUGUCAAAGCAAGAUGUACUACUCUAUAUCAAUGAGGCAAAGGUCUCUGGGUGCGACACCAAUGGACAAUGUGACACAACUUCUGAAGAUAACAUACUUUCAAAAGUGGACUUUCGGCCAAGUGGAUUGCCUGAAGGUUGGGUGAAAGAACUAGUGUACAGAAAAACCAAGGAAGGGUUGAUCAAGAGAGAUCCA